UGCUACAAGAGCUGCCCCCAUGCGCGCACCUGGUCAGCCCGCUCAGACCUGACGAGCGAAGCGGUCAGACUGGUGGGUGAUAUCUGCAUGGCUUUUCAACGAUAGUGACAACUGAGGAACACUGAGGGGCUGACACAGCGUGGUGGCUUUAUUUCUGCUGGAGAGGUCACCUGCAGAUUUGGAGUUUUUUAUAGCCCUGUACUUCUCACCAGUAUAUUAUAUAUUAUAUUAUAUAUAUUACCAGUAUAUAGCUGAUUGGACCAUGCUGGUUGGCCUGGAUUACAACCACCGUGUCCACAGUCCAGCCAGGAGAAAAGCUGAUGACACAAUUCAUUACAUCGCAGACCUCCAGAGUGCCAUCCUCCUCCUCUGACGGUCGUCUACUACUGAG